rnacentral:tRNA from 1 species
GCCGCUGUAGCUCAGUGGUAGAGCGCAUCCUUGGUAAGGCUGAGGUCACGGGUUCAAGUCCCGUCAGCGGCU